CGGUGAUGUCUCCUUACCGUUAUCAAUGGAGGCACUCGGCCAUGCCGUGGGUGGGGACGAUGACGGUCCUGCCACCUUAGACGCCCGUCGUCGAGGGUGUGGCGUGAGGGCGGGUUAGAUGCCCG
rfam:Geobacillus sp. BCO2 LR69_contig000061, whole genome shotgun sequence.